UACGUAGGGUGCAAGCGUUAAUCGGAAUUACUGGGCGUAAAGCGUGCGCAGGCGGUUGUGUAAGACAGAUGUGGAAUCCCCGGGCUCAACCUGGGAACUGCAUUUGUGACUGCACGGCUCGAGUGCGGCAGAGGGGGAUGGAAUUCCGCGUGUAGCAGUGAAAUGCGUAGAUAUGCGGAGGAACACCGAUGGCGAAGGCAAUCCCCUGGGCCUGCACUGACGCUCAUGCACGAAAGCGUGGGGAGCAAACAGG
rnacentral:rRNA from 1 species